UAAAAAAUAAGCUAAUAAAGCUAAGGAGUUCAUACCUCCUUAAUAAAGGUUUAAAUCCUUUUUUUUUAA
rnacentral:tRNA from 1 species